CGGGCGGGCGGUCUUGCGGGUGAGAUCGCGCGGUCCUCGGGUGACAGCGCGGGUGGCCCCGGGUGGGUGGGCGCGGCGGCUCGGCGCCGCCGCGCUCGCC
rnacentral:tRNA from 1 species